AUGCAUCAUCGAUUCAUUCAUUCCAAACUAAAAGUCCCUUAAGGCUUUCAAAUUGAUGUACUGAGUAUUGUGAAGGAUACCAACAUAUAUAACAAACACUUCUCAAAUAAUAAAAUGUAUUCAGCAGGUACAAUCUCCUCACUUUUAUGUUGCUAAACCAUGAGAAAUUAAAAUUAAAUCCUGUAUAAUUACUUGAAUCUUCCAGCUGACAAAUAAAAGUAGUCUUUGUAUUGGG
rnacentral:misc_RNA from 1 species